rnacentral:tRNA from 1 species
UCCGAAUUGGUGUAGUGGCUAACAUUUGACGCUCUCAUUAUGAAGAACCGUCAAGCCCGGGGUUCGAUUCCCCGAUUCGGAG